rnacentral:rRNA from 1 species
GGAUUAGAUACCCUGGUAGUCCACGCCGUAAACGAUGAUUGCUAGGUUUUCGGGGCAUCGACCCCUCGUGAGCCGAAGUUAACGCGUUAAGCAAUCCGCCUGAGUAGUACGGCCGCAAGGCUAAAACUCAAAGAAAUUGACGGGGGACCGCACAAGCAGCGGAGCGUGUGGUUUAAUUCGAUGGUAAGCGAAGAACCUUACCAGGGUUUGACAUGUAAGUAGUACUGAACCGAAAGGGGAUGGACCCGCAAGGGAGCUUACACAGGUGUUGCAUGGUUGUCGUCAGCUCGUGUCG